rnacentral:lncRNA from 1 species
AUUUAGGAUUUGUCUAGGGUUUGAUUUAGGAUUUGAUUUAGAAUUUGGUUUAAGAUUUAGGAUUUGUCUAAGAUUUGAUUUAAGAUUUGAUUUAAGAUUUAGGAUUUAUCUAGGAUUUGAUUUAGGGUUUAGGAUUUUUCUAGGAUUUGAUUUAAGGUUUGAUUUAGGAUUUGGUUUAGGGAUUAGGAUUUUUUUAGGAUUUGAUUUAGAAUUUGAUUUAGGAUUUAGGAUUUUUUUAGUAUUUGAUUGAAGUCUAUUAGAGUUUCAAUUAGAAUUAAAUUAGAACUUAGUUGAGAUUUAUUUAAAAUAUAUUUGUGAUUUUUUAAAUAUUUUUUAGGACUUCUUAAGGAUUCUUUUAAGAUUUAUUGUAGAUUUUCUUUCAAUUCCUUUAAGAUUUCUUAUUUU